rnacentral:rRNA from 1 species
GAGGUCCUACGGGACGCAGCAGUGGGGAAUAUUGCACAAUGGGGGGAACCCUGAUGCAGCGACGCCGCGUGGGUGAAGGAGCACCUCGGUGCGUAAAGCUCUCUCGGCAGGGAAGAAAAGCGAACAGGUUCGCCUGGACGGUACCUGACCAAGAAGCCCCGGCUAACUACGUGCCAGCAGCCGCGGUAAUACGUAGGGGGCAAGCGUUAUCCGGAUUCACUGGGUGUAAAGGGAGCGUAGACGGCGACGCAAGUCUGGAGUGAAAGCCCGGGGCCCAACCCCGGG